GGUACUGUACUUUAUGUAGAAGACUUGGUUUGCAACUAAAAAGAGGGAACACCCUAGUACC
rnacentral:tRNA from 1 species